rnacentral:rRNA from 1 species
UGUUUCGGCUAGGGGGCCAUCCCGGCUUACCAACCCGAUGCAAACUGCGAAUACCGGAGAAUGUUAUCACGGGAGACACACGGCGGGUGCUAACGUCCGUCGUGAAGAGGGAAACAACCCAGACCGCCAGCUAAGGUCCCAAAGUCAUGGUUAAGUGGGAAACGAUGUGGGAAGGCCCAGACAGCCAGGAUGUUGGCUUAGAAGCAGCCAUCAUUUAAAGAAAGCGUAAUAGCUCACUGGUCGAGUCGGCCUGCGCGGAAGAUGUAACGGGGCUAAACCAUGCACCGAAGCUGCGGCAGCGACACUGUGUGUUGUUGGGUAGGGGAGCGUUCUGUAAGCCUGUGAAGGUGGCCUGUGAGGGUUGCUGGAGGUAUCAGAAGUGCGAAUGCUGACAUAAGUAACGAUAAAGCGGGUGAAAAGCCCGCUCGCCGGAAGACCAAGGGUUCCUGUCCAACGUUAAUCGGGGCAGGGUGAGUCGACCCCUAAGGCGAGGCCGAAAGGCGUAGUCGAUGGGAAACGGGUUAAUAUUCCCGUACUUGGUGUUACUGCGAAGGGGGGACGGAGAAGGCUAUGUUGGCCGGGCGACGGUUGUCCCGGUUUAAGCGUGUAGGUGUGUGUUCCAGGUAAAUCCGGUUCACUUUAACACUGAGGCGUGAUGACGAGGCACUACGGUGCUGAAGCAACAAAUGCCCUGCUUCCAGGAAAAGCCUCUAAGCAUCAGGUAACAUCAAAUCGUACCCCAAACCGACACAGGUGGUCAGGUAGAGAAUACCAAGGCGCUUGAGAGAACUCGGGUGAAGGAACUAGGCAAAAUGGUGCCGUAACUUCGGGAGAAGGCACGCUGACACGUAGGUGAAGUGAUUUACUCACGGAGCUGAAGUCAGUCGAAGAUACCAGCUGGCUGCAACUGUUUAUUAAAAACACAGCACUGUGCAAACACGAAAGUGGACGUAUACGGUGUGACGCCUGCCCGGUGCCGGAAGGUUAAUUGAUGGGGUCAGCGCAAGCGAAGCUCCUGAUCGAAGCCCCGGUAAACGGCGGCCGUAACUAUAACGGUCCUAAGGUAGCGAAAUUCCUUGUCGGGUAAGUUCCGACCUGCACGAAUGGCGUAAUGAUGGCCAGGCUGUCUCCACCCGAGACUCAGUGAAAUUGAACUCGCUGUGAAGAUGCAGUGUACCCGCGGCAAGACGGAAAGACCCCGUGAACCUUUACUAUAGCUUGACACUGAACAUUGAGCCUUGAUGUGUAGGAUAGGUGGGAGGCUUUGAAGUGUGGACGCCAGUCUGCAUGGAGCCGACCUUGAAAUACCACCCUUUAAUGUUUGAUGUUCUAACGUGGACCCGUGAUCCGGGUUGCGGACAGUGUCUGGUGGGUAGUUUGACUGGGGCGGUCUCCUCCUAAAGAGUAACGGAGGAGCACGAAGGUUGGCUAAUCCUGGUCGGACAUCAGGAGGUUAGUGCAAUGGCAUAAGCCAGCUUGACUGCGAGCGUGACGGCGCGAGCAGGUGCGAAAGCAGGUCAUAGUGAUCCGGUGGUUCUGAAUGGAAGGGCCAUCGCUCAACGGAUAAAAGGUACUCCGGGGAUAACAGGCUGAUACCGCCCAAGAGUUCAUAUCGACGGCGGUGUUUGGCACCUCGAUGUCGGCUCAUCACAUCCUGGGGCUGAAGUAGGUCCCAAGGGUAUGGCUGUUCGCCAUUUAAAGUGGUACGCGAGCUGGGUUUAGAACGUCGUGAGACAGUUCGGUCCCUAUCUGCCGUGGGCGCUGGAGAACUGAGGGGGGCUGCUCCUAGUACGAGAGGACCGGAGUGGACGCAUCACUGGUGUUCGGGUUGUCAUGCCAAUGGCACUGCCCGGUAGCUAAAUGCGGAAGAGAUAAGUGCUGAAAGCAUCUAAGCACGAAACUUGCCCCGA